CUUGACAUCCACGGAAUUUAGCAGAGAUGCUUUAGUGCCUUCGGGAACCGUGAGACAGGUGCUGCAUGGCUGUCGUCAGCUCGUGUUGUGAAAUGUUGGGUUAAGUCCCGNAACGAGCGCAACCCUUAUCCUUUGUUGCCAGCGGUUCGGCCGGGAACUCAAAGGAGACUGCCAGUGAUAAACUGGAGGAAGGUGGGGAUGACGUCAAGUCAUCAUGGCCCUUACGAGUAGGGCUACACACGUGCUACAAUGGCGUAUACAAAGAGAAGCGACCUCGCGAGAGCAAGCGGACCUCAUAAAGUACGUCGUAGUCCGGAUUGGAGUCUGCAACUCGACUCCAUGAAGUCGGAAUCGCUAGUAAUCGUGGAUCAGAAUGCUACGGUGAAUACGUUCCCGGGCCUUGUACACACCGCCCGUCACACCAUGGGAGUGGGUUGCAAAAGAAGUAGGUAGCUUAACCUUCGGGAGGGCGCUUACCACUUUGUGAUUCAUGACUGGGGUGAAGUCGUAACAAGGUAAGCGUAGAUGA
rnacentral:rRNA from 1 species